rnacentral:lncRNA from 1 species
UUUUCAAUUUGAUUUUCUCGGAUUAAAAUGUUUUCCCCCAAAGCUGCACACAUGAAAUGUGUUUUGCCAGCACAACUCUGUAAAAAUUGAUUCCUGAGCCUUUCAGUGACUGCCUGUCACCUGCUCCUUAAAUGAAGGAGUAUGUGAGUUUCUUAAUACCACCACUCACGGUAACAUCGUCAUGCUGGUCACACUUACCGAACUAUUUUUUGGGAGCUCUCCCCAGGUCAACAUUAAUUUUUAUGAAAGCACUGAUUCCACAGACCAAUAAGGUUUUCUCAUUUUGGUCAAGAGCGGCUACAUGAAUUGCUAAUUAAACAUGGGCACUUUUCACCCACUAUUCUCUCUUUCCCCGCACACAGUCUAGAAACCCGAAGUGAGAAGCGGACUACAACUUCCUCCAGAUUUCACAGAUGACAGCUCCCCUUUCGGGGGAACAAAAUCUGGGGUUCCCAGUGCAGUCAGUCUUCAACCUUUGUGUCUGUCUGAGGAAAGAACAAAAGGCAGCGCUUCCUCCCCCAGCCCCUCCUCAACUCGGAGGAGGCAGGCUUGACAGAAGAACCGUGCUGGAGGACAAGGAGACCACGCCGGAGCCGGCGCGAGCUGCCCUCCACACGCACGUUACCCGAGCUACCCACCUUGGAUAGCUGCCUCCUGAGGCUGAAGCGCUGAACCAUGGUCACCCUGAGGACUCUUCACACAAAGCGAUCCACCAAGGGAAGGGCUUUUUCCGAGGCCG